GUCUCCUUCCUUGGAAGAUCUGCUCUGCUCACCAGUUCCCUCUCUGGGAGAGAAUACAGUCCUUGAGAGAAAAUGACAGAGAGACUCCAUAGCAUAGCAAGGCCUCAACUCCAGGAUUCCAAUGAAUAUUUAAGACACAGAUAAAGAGCUCCAGUCACCAAUAAAUAGUAUCUUCAAAGCUAAAGCUUCUCCGUUUACCAGAUUAUCAGAGUAAUGUAAGAACUUGAAAAAAAAAAAGUCAUUCCAUGAGCUUCCUCCCAGGAAAUUCAACUCAGAGAAUCCAGCAGACUUCUGUUCCUUCCAGUGUACUUUGAAUAUUCAUGAACAAUGGCAUCAUGUGAUGACAAGAUUUAUUUUCCUGUAAAGGAGAAAAACCACUUCUGUUCAAAAAAUGGCGAACCUGAAGAACUGGGCUUGGGAAAAGGAUCAUAGAUUGGAACACAGAGGAUGGAUCUUGUGUGAAGGACUGGGAGAGAAUGUCUUGCUUAUACUUUUGCGUUAACAAAUGGAGAAGCUGAGAGUCAGAAAGGAGGAAGAGCUUGUCCAAGAUCACAUGGGAAGUGAAUGUUGAUGAAUUCUUAACCCAGAGCUCUGCCUACAGUGUAUCUGUAAAUAAUUUCUUGGAUAGACCUAGAAAAAAUUGAGUUAAGUGAAGUAAAUCAGUCCCAGAGAGCCAAAGAAUGCAUUUUUGUUCUCAUAUGUGUAAGCUAGAACUAAUUUAUAAAUGUACAAAUAAAGACAUAUAGGAUUGUAUGCAAGUGAGCACCCACAUAUUAACUGAAGUUUGGGAUUUACAGGGAAGAAUUUAAAUGGUGUAAUUCCUUAAAAAACAAAUUCACAGUUGAACAAAAUGAACCCCAGGAAACAAGUUCUUGAGAGGCAUGUGGACAGGGGCAAAUGAGGUCAAAGGGAGAGCCUAGAUGAAUGAAGAGAUGCAGACAAAAGAAUGAAGUCAUAAUAUUCAAUUCAUAUACUAUAAAAUUAAGAAAAUUGAGAGGAGGGGUUGUGUUAAGAGGUUAUGGUGGAAAAUGACAAAAGGUGUGAUAUUGAUCAA